rnacentral:sRNA from 2 species
AUGUGCCGGGAUCGCCCCCCGUCAGCGAGUUUCGCCCACGGGGGACAUUGGC